AUUGAACGCUGGCGGCAGGCCUAACACAUGCAAGUCGAGCGCCGCGGCGGACGGGGGAGUAAUGCCUAGGAAUCUACCUGGUGGUGGGGGAUAACGUACGGAAACGGGCGCUAAUACCGCAUACUAUCAGAUGAGCCUAGGUCGGAUUAGCUAGUUGGUGGGGUAAAGGCCUACCAAGGCGACGAUGCGUAACUGGUCUGAGAGGAUGAUCAGUCACACGGGAACUGAGACACGGUCCAGACUCCUACGGGAGGCAGCAGUGGGGAAUAUUGGACAAUGGGCGAAAGCCUGAUCGAGCCAUGCCGCGUGUGUGAAGAAGGUUUUCGGAUUGUAAAGCACUUUAAGUUGGGAGGCGGUACCAACAGAAUAAGCACCGGCUAACUACGUGCCAGCAGCCGCGGUAAUUC
rnacentral:rRNA from 1 species